rnacentral:rRNA from 1 species
AUACGUAGGGAGCGAGCGUUGUCCGGAAUUACUGGGUGUAAAGGGAGCGUAGGCGGGACUGCAAGUCAGAUGUGAAAUACCGGGGCUUAACCCCGGAGCUGCAUUUGAAACUGUGGUUCUUGAGUGAAGUAGAGGCAAGCGGAAUUCCUGGUGUAGCGGUGAAAUGCGUAGAUAUCAGGAGGAACACCGGUGGCGAAGGCGGCUUGCUGGGCUUUUACUGACGCUGAGGCUCGAAAGCGUGGGUAGCAAACAGGAUUAUAUGCCCUGGUAGUCCACGCCGUAAACGAUGAAUACUAGGUGUAGGGGGUAUCGACUCCCUCUGUGCCGCAGUUAACACAAUAAGUAUUCCGCCUGGGGAGUACGGCCGCAAGGUUGAAACUCAAAUGAAUUGACGGGG